UGGGGAAUAUUGCACAAUGGGCGCAAGCCUGAUGCAGCCAUGCCGCGUGUGUGAAGAAGGCCUUCGGGUUGUAAAGCACUUUCAGCGGGGAGGAAGGCGUUAAGGUUAAUAACCUUGGCGAUUGACGUUACCCGCAGAAGAAGCACCGGCUAACUCCGUGCCAGCAGCCGCGGUAAUACGGAGGGUGCAAGCGUUAAUCGGAAUUACUGGGCGUAAAGCGCACGCAGGCGGUCUAUCAAGUCGGAUGUGAAAUCCCCGGGCUCCACCUGGGAACUGCAUUCGAAACUGGCAGGCUAGAGUCUUGUAGAGGGGGGUAGAAUUCCAGGUGUAGCGGUGAAAUGCGUAGAGAUCUGGAGGAAUACCGGUGGCGAAGGCGGCCCCCUGGACAAAGACUGACGCUCAGGUGCGAAAGCGUGGGGAGCAAACAGG
rnacentral:rRNA from 1 species